CAUGUGGAAGUUCUGGGACCAGGGAUCAAACCCCAGUGAUCCAAGCCACAGCAGUGAUAAUGGGUCUUUAACAUUAUCCAGGGAACUCCAUUGAGAUUUUAAAAAAAUUUUUGUUAUUGUACUUUUCAGUUCUAACCCCCGCCCCCCUUUUUAUAUCUUCUAUUACCUGGCUGAGACUUUUUUCCCUUUCAUUUCUUCCAAGCCUAUUAUUGCUUACUGAAGCAUUUUAAUGAUGGCUGCUUUAAAAACUUUGUCAGCUAAUUCUAACAUAUAUGUCAUAUUUUUUCUUUCCUUUUUCUUCUUUGGCUACCCCGCUCCAUAUGGAGUUCCCAGGCCAGGGAUCAGAUCCAAGCCACAGUUCCCACCCAAGUCACAAUUGUGGCACACUGGAUCCUUAACCCCGUAUUUGUCAUCUUGAUGUUGGCAUCUAUUGAUUGCCUUUUUCUGUUUGAGAUUUGAGGUCUUCCUGACUCUUGGUAUGAUAAUUUUUCAUUGAAAUGUAGUAUUAUAUUAUGAAACUCUGGAUCUUAUUUAAGCCUUCUCUUUUACUUUUUUUUUUUUCCCUGACACCAGUUGGGCAGGGGAUGAAGGAUUGCAGUCUUGCACUGCCAGGUCAGGGUAGAAGACAAACAUUCUUAUCACUCCUGGGAGGGUAUGGGAGCUCUUGCUUCCCAUUAGGCAUCCACUGACACCUCCCUGGCUGGGAGGAAUAGGAGUGAGUGCCUCAUUACCACUCCGCAUGUGGCCUCCAUAGACACCAGAGUGAGAGGCCUCAUUACUGACUGGUAGGGAUAAUAUUCCCAGCUCCCUACAUGGCUUCUCUGACACUACCCUGGUGGAAGGGUUAGGGUGCCCGAUUGUAACCUGGCAAGAUUGGAAGUCUAGGCUUCACACUUGGCUGUUGCCGCUGGGAGAGGGGGUAAGGCUUCAAUUUUUUCUGUGGUAUUUGGCUGGUUAUCAUCUAAUAAAAGUUUUCUAUUUUGCUAGGCUUCCCUAUCCUGAUCUGUGUUUUGUUUUUUUUAGGGCUGCACCCACGGCAUAUGGAGGUUCCCAGGCUAGGGGUCUAAUUGGAGCUACAGCUGCCUGCCUACACCAUAGCCACAGCAACAUCAGAUCCAAGCCUUGUCUGCGACCUACACCACAGUCGACAGCAACGCCGGAUCCUUAACCCACUAAGCGAGGCCAGGGAUCAGACCUGCAACCUCAUGGUUCCUAGUUGGAUUCGUUUCUGCUGUGCAAAGAUGGGCACUCUCCUAUCCUGAUCUUUGAAUAAAGAGCCGGCUUUUGUUUGGGCUUUUAAAAAUCUGUGCUUAUUGGUGUUUCCAGAUUGUCAGCUUCCUCAGAUGCAGUUCUGGGGGAUAUGAAAGAAAAGGAAAACAGAGAACUCACCAUCCUGUUCUUCCUUGGGCCAUGAACCCCUAGCUGGUCUGCUAUCUUCUCGACACCUUUCAGAGUCCUUGAUGAUUGUUUUCUGUCUAUUGUUCAAAGUUUAGAGUUUUACUUAGUGGAAGUAAUAGGGGUAAGUAUGUCUAUUUCAUCUUCCCAGAAGCAGAAGUCCUAUUAUAUGAUUUUUAAAAUUAGAAAACAAAAAACAAUGAGUGUAUAUGGGCAUGUGUGUGUGUGUGCAUGCAAGCAUAUAUUUGAGAGCAUUGAGAUACGGGCAAUAUAAAGGCUCACUGUCAGCCUUUUGAUUAGGUGCCAGGCCCUGUACUGGCACCACAGGGACAGAAAAAAAUAAGGCACAAGUUCUUUCCAGCUUCAAGGAACUGACCAUGAAAUGGUAAAGCAAGCAUGUAGGUAAAUGAGUACAAUACCUGUUACACUUGCAGUGAGGAACUAGGCCCAGGCAAAGAGAUCUGGUUAAAUCCUCCUGGGCUUGAGCUGAGUGGAGCUCCUGGCCCAUCCCUAGAAAGGGUCCUUUCUUGGCACUUCAAGGUGGGGACAUUAAAACUGUAGGGGAGGAGUUCCUGUUGUGGCUCAGUGGUCAAUGAAUCUGACUAGGAACCAUGAGGUUGCAGUUUCGAUCCCUGGCCUUGCUCAGUGGGUUAAGGAUUCAACGUUGCCGUGAGCUGUGGUGGAGGUCACAGACGCAGCUCGGAUCUGGCGUUGCUGUGGCUCUGGCAUAGGACGGCGGCUACAGCUCUGAUUAGACCCCUAGCCUGAGAACCUCCAUAUACCUUGGGAGCGGCCCUAGAAAAGGCAAAAAGACAAAAAACAAAAAACCCCAAAACCAAAACAAAACAAAACAAAAAACUUUUAGAGCAGCACUUCUCACAUUUUAAUGCACACAUAAAUCACUAAGAGAUCUUAUUAAAAUGCAGAUUCUGAUUCAGCAGGUCUGGGGUAGGACCCAAGAUCCUACAUCCCUAACAAGCUCCCAAGUGAUGCCCAUGGUGCUACCAGUCCGUGGACCACACUUUGAGUAGCAAGAGUACAGUAUGGACUUUGGAGUCAGACAGUGUUCAAAUACCAGGUCUGGGACCAACGAACUAUACAAGUCACUUAACCCCUCCUCAGUUUCUGCUUUUGUAAAAUGAAGACAGUAAUAGCUCCUGCCCUAUCGGGUUAUCAUGACGACUAAAGCGGCAAAGUAUGAACAGUGCCUAGCAUAUAAUCUGCACACAGGGAAGUAGAGAGAACCAGCCUCAUUUCUCUGCUGUUCUCCAGCUGCCCCCGCCCUGAUCACUGGUUG
ensembl:lncRNA